UUUCUUCUCUCUUCUUUUGAUAUUUUUUAAUUAUUUUAUUGGAGGGCUAGGAUGUCACUGGAGGGCACCCAACGGGAGACAAUCCACUCCCGUUAAAAAUGAUUGUAAAUUUUCUGCUCAUUGUUUGGUGAAACCAUUGAACCUUUUUGUCUGCUUUUUGUUAAAAACAAAUUGGGUUGGAGAAGGGGAGUAGACCACAACCGGU
rnacentral:lncRNA from 1 species